GACGUAGGUGGCAAGCGUUGUCCGGAGUUAUUGGGCGUAAAGCGCGCGCAGGCGGUCCCGCAAGUCCAUGGUGAAAGCGCCCGGCUCAACUGGGCGAGUGCCGUGGGGACUGCUGGGCUGGAGGGGAGCAGAGGCGAGUGGAAUUCCGGGUGUAGUGGUGAAAUGCGUAGAGAUCCGGAGGAACACCAGUGGCGAAGGCGGCUCGCUGGGCUCUACCUGACGCUGAGGCGCGAAAGCGUGGGGAG
rnacentral:rRNA from 1 species